rnacentral:rRNA from 1 species
UAGGGAAUCUUCCGCAAUGGGCGAAAGCCUGACGGAGCAACGCCGCGUGAGUGAUGAAGGUCUUCGGAUCGUAAAACUCUGUUAUUAGGGAAGAACAAAUGUGUAAGUAACUAUGCACGUCUUGACGGUACCUAAUCAGAAAGCCACGGCUAACUACGUGCCAGCAGCCGCGGUAAUACGUAGGUGGCAAGCGUUAUCCGGAAUUAUUGGGCGUAAAGCGCGCGUAGGCGGUUUUUUAAGUCUGAUGUGAAAGCCCACGGCUCAACCGUGGAGGGUCAUUGGAAACUGGAAAACUUGAGUGCAGAAGAGGAAAGUGGAAUUCCAUGUGUAGCGGAAAUGCGCAGAGAUAUGGAGGAACACCAGUGGCGAAGGCGACUUUCUGGUCUGUAACUGACGCUGAUGUGCGAAAGCGUGGGGAUCAAACAGG